AGGCCGACGAUGAUCUUGUAUGGAAUCGACAACAUCAGAGAUCUCUUUGGACCAAAGGUUGAUUUCAAUGUUAUAAAGAACGGGCCUAUAUGCAGAUUGGGGCUGCAGUAAAUCACCACAACAUCCAAUACAAUCCUUUUACCAUUUAGUAUCAGUGGGCUGGUGUUUUGUUUCCUUUUCAUUUUUGUUUGUUCUGAUACAAAAGAUGUUUUUCAAAGACAUUGUUAUGCUACAUGUUUGCUAAUAAAGACUACAUAUAUAGUGCAAUAUAGGGUGAAAGAGAUGAUAUUUGGGUUCAUAAAUUAGUUACAAUGGCCCAAAGAUUGAAAUCA